rnacentral:rRNA from 1 species
UACAUGGGGUGCAAGCGUUGCUCGGAAUUAUUGGGCGUAAAGCGCACGUAGGUGGUCGCUUAAGUCGGAUGUGAAAGCCCUCGGCUCAACUGAGGAAGUGCAUCCGAAACUGAGUGGCUAGAGUAUGGAAGAGGGUCGCGGAAUUCCCGGUGUAGAGGUGAAAUUCGUAGAUAUCGGGAGGAACACCGGUGGCGAAGGCGGCGAGCUGGGCCAAUACUGACACUGAGGUGCGAAAGCGUGGGGAGCAAACAGG